AUGAUCUCCUCGAGCAAGCUGAAGUCCGUCGACUUCUACAGAAAAAUUCCUAGGGAUUUGACGGAGGCAUCACUAUCUGGCGCUGGAUUAUCCAUAUUUGCAGCACUGGCAAUGGUGUUUUUGUUUGGAAUGGAGUUGAGUAGUUACUUAGCAGUCAAUACCACCACAUCUGUAAUUGUUGACAGGAGUUCAGAUGGGGAGUUCUUACGGAUAGAUUUUAACUUGAGCUUUCCUGCGCUUUCAUGUGAAUUUGCAUCAGUUGAUGUCAGUGAUGUGCUGGGAACAAACAGACUAAACAUAACGAAAACUGUUCGCAAGUUUUCAAUUGAUCGGAAUUUAGUACCUACUGGAUCUGAGUUCCACGCUGGACCUAUACCCACUGUCAACAAACAUGGAGAUGAUGUUGAAGAAUACCAUGGUGAUGGUUCAGUUGCCUUGUCCUCUCGCAAUUUUGAUAGCUAUUCUCACCUGUACCCUGUUUUGGUUGUCAACUUUUAUGCCCCCUGGUGUUAUUGGAGCAAUCGUCUGAAACCUUCAUGGGAAAAGGCUGCGCAAAUAAUAAGGGAGAGAUAUGACCCUGAAAUGGAUGGCAGAAUUCUUCUUGGCAAAGUUGACUGCACUGAGGAAGUUGAACUGUGUAAGAGGCAUCAUAUACAAGGUUACCCAUCAAUUCGCAUUUUUCAUAAAGGGAGUGAUAUGAAGGAGAAUCAGGGUCACCAUGAUCAUGACUCAUACUAUGGGGAACGUGAUACUGAAAGUUUAGUCGCGGCAAUGGAAACAUAUGUUGCAAAUAUUCCAAAAGAGGCCCAUGUGCUUGCUUUGGAAGACAAGUCCAACAGGACUGUUGAUCCUGCAAAGCGACCUGCUCCAAUGACCGGCGGCUGCAGAAUAGAAGGUUUUGUGCGGGUUAAAAAGGUUCCUGGCAGUGUUGUAAUAUCGGCUCGAUCUGGUUCACACUCAUUUGAUCCAUCUCAGAUAAAUGUUUCCCACUACGUCACAACGUUCUCAUUUGGCAAAAGGCUCUCAUCAAAGAUGUUUAAUGAACUGAAAAGACUUUUUCCCUAUGUCGGUGGACACCAUGAUAGAUUAGCUGGUCAGUCUUACAUCGUUAAGCAUGGUGAUGUCAAUGCAAAUGUUACUAUUGAGCAUUACCUACAAAUUGUAAAGACUGAGCUGGUUACGCUGAGAUACGCAAAGGAGUUGAAAGUGCUUGAAGAAUAUGAAUACACAGCACACAGCAGCUUGGUGCACAGCUUCUAUGUUCCUGUUGUGAAAUUCCAUUUUGAGCCUUCUCCCAUGCAGGUCCUGGUGACUGAACUUCCCAAAUCAUUCUCCCACUUCAUCACAAAUGUCUGUGCUAUUAUUGGUGGAGUUUUCACGGUGGCCGGAAUACUUGACUCCAUCUUGCACAACACGCUAAGGUUGGUGAAGAAGGUUGAGCUAGGGAAGGACAUUUGA
rnacentral:rRNA from 1 species